AUUGAACGCUGGCGGCAGGCCUAACACAUGCAAGUCGAGCGAGCGGCGGACGGGUGAGUAAUGUCUGGGACCCUUCCUGAUGGAGUGGGAUAACUACUGGAAACGGUAGCUAAUACCGCAUACCAUCAGAUGUGCCCAGAUGGGAUUAGCUAGUAGGUGGGGUAACGGCUCAACUAGGCGACGAUACAUAGCUGCUCGAAGAGGAUGACCAGCGACACUGGAACUAAGACACGGUCCAGACUCCUACGGGAGGCAGCAGUGGGGAAUAUUGCACAAUGGGCGCAAGCCUGAUGCAGCCAUGCCGCGUAUGUGAAGAAGGCCUUCGGGUUGUAAAGCACUUUCAGCGGGGAGGCGUUACCCGCAGAAGAAGCAAGGGCUAACUCCGUGCCAGCAGCCGCGGUAAUUC
rnacentral:rRNA from 1 species